rnacentral:rRNA from 1 species
AUUGAACGCUGGCGGCAGGCCUAACACAUGCAAGUCGAACGAGUGGCGGACGGGUUAGUAAUGUAUGGGACACUGCCUGAUGGAGGGGGAUAACUACUGGAAACGGUAGCUAAUACCGCAUACCAGCGGAUGUGCCGAAAUGGGAUUAGCUAGUAGGUGGGGUAAAGGCUAACCUAGGCGACGAUCCCUAGCUGGUCUGAGAGGAGGACCAGCCACACUGGAACUGAGACACGGUCCAGACUCCUACGGGAGGCAGCAGUGGGGAAUAUUGCACAAUGGGCGCAAGCCUGAUGCAGCCAUGCCGCGUGUAUGAAGAAGGCCUUCGGGUUGUAAAGUACUUUCAGCGGGGAGGCGUUACCCGAAGAAGAAGCACCGGCUAACUCCGUGCCAGCAGCCGCGGUAAUUC